CAAGGGGUAGCAAUACCCCCUAGAGCGGCGGACUGGUGAGUAACGCGUGGGUGAUCUGCCCUUGGGAUGGGGAUAGCCAGUAGAAAUACUGGGUAAUACCGAAUACGUUCGCUCCUUCGGUGGAGCGAGGAAAAGCGCUUCGGCGCUGCCCGAGGAUGAGCCCGCGUCCCAUUAGCUAGUUGGCGAUUUAACCGCCCACCAAUGCGAAAAUGGGUAGCCGGCCUGAGAGGGUGUACGGCCACACUUAAUCCCUUAUACGNCGAAGACUCCUACNGUUGGUCCAUGUGGGAAGUUCUAGAAAUCUCCUGCAAAU
rnacentral:sRNA from 1 species